rnacentral:sRNA from 1 species
CAGUCUUUUUAUGUGUUGAAGCACAUCUUUCAUAAAAUGAGUUUUUCCGCAGGAGGUGGGACCGGACACGAUCAUGGUAAAAGGGUGUCUAAACACGAAAGCCUCCUGCUGCUGCUGCUGCUGCUGCUGCUGCUGCUGCUGCUGUUGCUGCUGCUGCUGCUGUUGCUGCUGCUGCUGCUGCUGCUGCUGCUGCUGCUGCUGCUGCUGCUGCUG